GGGGAAUCUUGGACAAUGGGCGCAAGCCUGAUCCAGCCAUGCCGCGUGAGUGAAGAAGGCCUUCGGGUUGUAAAGCUCUUUGAGCGGGGAAGAUAAUGACGGUACCCGCAGAACAAGCCCCGGCUAACUCCGUGCCAGCAGCCGCGGUAAUACGGAGGGGGCUAGCGUUGUUCGGAAUCACUGGGCGUAAAGCGCGCGUAGGCGGCUUGACAAGUUAGAAGUGAAAGCCCCGGGCUUAACCUGGGAACUGCUUUUAAAACUGUCGAGCUAGAGAAUGGUAGAGGAGAGUGGAAUUCCUAGUGUAGAGGUGAAAUGCGUAGAUAUUAGGAGGAACACCAGAGGCGAAGGCGGCUCUCUGGGCCAUUUCUGACGCUAAGGCGCGAAAGCGUGGGGAGCAAAC
rnacentral:rRNA from 1 species